GGCCCACUGGCGCAAUGGUAGCGCGUCAGAUUCCAGAAGACAGUAGGAUAUCCUGAAGGUUAGCUGUUCGAAUCAGCUGUGGGUCA